rnacentral:rRNA from 26 species
CUCCUGAAGGAACGUUGAAGACGACGACGUUGAUAGGCCGGGUGUGUAAGCGCAGCGAUGCGUUGAGCUAACCGGUACUAAUGAACCGUGAGGCUUAACCUUACAACGCCGAAG